UUUGCAGGACUCCAAAUCGGAAAAAAAUUGUCUGAGACAACCUAACUAAAACAGUAUGACAACAUUUCAGAAGUCGCAGAAUGCUACAGGUUUAUCCUGCAGAGACUGACUGUGCAGUUACUAAAGCUAAUGGAAGUGAUGCUAUUGACCUCCAUGAGAGUAGGAUGACAGCCAUCAGUUUGGAAAAGUGACUGACUCAAGAAUAUAGCCUCCAGACUUUGACUCUUAAUCUCUCAUUCACUUAUUUGUUGAUGGGUCAUAAAUGACACCCCUUUUUGUCCUCCUGUGCUGUGUCAGACUCUAAGAAUUGCCUCUGUUACAAGAGAGGGAAGAAAAUGGAAACACCAUCCCUGCAUCAGCAGUAAGUUGUAUCUGAUCUUAAAGG
rnacentral:lncRNA from 1 species